AUUCCAACCUUCGGGGACAUCCGAAAAAAUUGAAAUGAUAUAAAAAAGAUUAGCAUGGCCCCUGUGCAAGGAUGACAUGCACAAAUCGAGAAAUGGUAUCAAAACCU
rnacentral:snRNA from 2 species